AGUCUGGAGUCUGCAAGAAGCACAGUUGCUUUCCCGGGCUUUUGACUGGUUUGAUCUGGUGAGGACAAGGGCAAAAGCAGUCCUGGACACAGAGUCACAUAAAACAGAAGGCGAAAUAGCAUCUAUAAUUGAUCAUGGAAUUGUAGACAGAGAAAAGGCCAGUGAAGGUUUGGGUCUUAAAAAAUUACUCAAGCACUACAACACAUAUAUGAUGAGCUGAUGGCUGCCGUAAAUGACUACGAAGAAAAUACAAAGUCAAACUUUGUUUGUUUUAAGCACACCAAGAACUUUGGCAAGCAAGGUGCAGGGUCUGGUCAUUUCGGAGGCAGACAACAAUAGGGGUUGACGCGCGUUACCAGAAAGAUACCUGGUGGUGAUGUUUCCUGAGAACAUCGAGCCUUAGGGAAAACGCUAAAGAAUGGAUAUUGUAUGAAAGGUUUCAGUUGGCUUCUUACAUUUGCUUUCUUGAAGAUUGAAUGGAUCAAGUCACCUCGUUCACAGCAUCAUAUGCUUAUAUUCUGUAAUUUUUUUUUUUUUACCCUUGUUAUGCACUUGUCAUCUUAAUUUUUAUUUCGUUAUGCACAUGGAUUGAGCAUCUCUUUAACCCCUUAACGACAUGUGACAUAAAUUUGCGUCAACAUGCCAGUAAGAAGAUAUGGAGCUGUUGCAGAUUAUGUGUAAGUAACCAUAGCAAGAAAACGAAAUGAUGUUCGGCUCCAAAAAACAAGCAAACUUUUAUUUCAUUCGGUUUAAAAAUCCAGACAAAUACAAGGCAAACGUAUUAUUUAUUAUUAAAGCGCCAUUCAUUCCAUAGCGCUGUACAUGUGAUAAGCGGUGCACAUACAUAAUACAGACAAUUGCACUAAGCAUGAACAAGACG